CUGAGCCCUCCUAUUUCUCACGGGGUCCAACAUGGGCAGAGAUGGUCCUGCGAGAAGACCUCGUCAUGGGUCUUGGGUGGCACUUCAGUGGGCAUAGGAAGACAGAAGGCUUUGCAGGAGGAAGAGCAGGAAGACUGGUUCCUGGCUUGGUACUUCAAGAUGCAGUGGGGGAGUGGUUUUCCCAUUGUUUCUUCUAACCGCUACUCUAUUUUUGUUCAAAACGCUCCUUUGCCUUGAGGAAGCUGUGUCACCAGAUGUCCCUGAUGCUGCUCCCUGAUGAACCAGAGCUGUGGGCAAUGGAGAUGAAUCCAGCCUGGCAUAGCAGCCUGUUUGAUGCCCGUUGGGAAAUGACAAUGACUGGAUUCAGCACCCAGCAGGUACUGGGGCUCCCUGUGCUCCCCAUCCCCAGCCAGUGUGAUGCUCUGUGCACCCCAUGUCACCGCUCUGCCUUCACUGCAGGUGCAGCUCUGACUCAUUUGCACUCACUGAGCACCUGUGGGUGUGCACCCAAGGAUUGCUGCUGCAUGGUGUGAAGCCUGAGGGCUGCUUCCCUUGCAGAGGUGCUUCUUGCUCUCCUGCCUCACUCUCUGCUAGGAGUGGAAGUGGGAAGGAUUUAAGGUAUCUCAAAGAGGAACAGGAUGACCUGAGCUCCAAGCAGAGAUUGUAUGAGAUUUAUUUCUAAAGGAUAACUUGAAACAUUUAGUAAUACUUUGUUUUAUCUUCCACCUCGACACAAAUUGUCAUUGUGCAGUAAUGGGGAGAAGCAAUAAAGGCUCUCUGCAUUUCCUGCUCUGCACAAUGACCUGCAGCACCUUUCCUUGUGAAGAUUUCUAAUGCAAAGCUUUGUGGAGGACAGAGCCUGGCUUGGGUGUGAAGUGCAAACCCAGACAAUGUGAGAUGCAGAGCUGAGGCAGCAGAAGGGGUGCAAGGUGCUGGGGUCCCAUGGUGCCCAUCCGUUGUGUGCGGGUGACAGCAUGGGCUGGGUGUGUGGAGGAAGGGGGUAUGGAUGUGGGUAGAGCAGCAGUGUUGGCAGCUGGAGAAGCUUCCCAGCAGGGCACAGGG
ensembl:lncRNA